GACGAACGCUGGCGGCGUGCCUAAUACAUGCAAGUUGAGCGAUGAAGAUUGGUGCUUGCACCCAUUUGAAGAGCAGCGAACGGGUGAGUAACGCGUGGGGAAUCUGCCCUUGAGCGGGGGACAACAUUUGGAAACGAAUGCUAAUACCGCAUAACAACUUUAAACAUAAGUUUUAAGUUUGAAAGAUGCAAUUGCAUCACUCAAAGAUGAUCCCGCGUUGUAUUAGCUAGUUGGUGAGGUAAAGGCUCACCAAGGCGAUGAUACAUAGCCGACCUGAGAGGGUGAUCGGCCACAUUGGGACUGAGACACGGCCCAAACUCCUACGGGAGGCAGCAGUAGGGAAUCUUCGGCAAUGGACGAAAGUCUGACCGAGCAACGCCGCGUGAGUGAAGAAGGUUUUCGGAUCGUAAAACUCUGUUGGUAGAGAAGAACGUUGGUGAGAGUGGAAAGCUCAUCAAGUGACGGUAACUACCCAGAAAGGGACGGCUAACUACGUG
rnacentral:rRNA from 1 species